CUGACAGAUGACAGUAAACAAUAUAAAAUUUGCCAAAUGUAUACGGUGAAUCUAAAUAUUAAUGAAACAUAAUAAAACAACAAAGAAAGAUAAUCAGAAAAAACAAAAGUUAUGAUUACCCAGCAUUCAAAUUAACAAAGGUUGAACUGUUAGUAAUGAACUGAGUGAAAUACAUAAACAAGCUCCGACAUCGUAGUAACUUUCUUUCGGGACUUGUCUGGGAAUAAAAUCACAAUAGCUCCAUCAGCCGUCCAGCAUUUUUUCAUGCCAAAAUAAUUGCGAGCUGCCACAAAUAUGUCUUGCCGGGUCUUAGUUAAAAACUCGGUAAUUGUGACCUUAGUACCUUUUAAACUGGUUUUAGCUUUCCACGCUUUAGAGCGAAGCUGCAUGUUUGAAAAACGAACAAGUAUGGGCCGUGCAGAGUCCUUUUUAGUGCCAAGUCUGUGGCAAGAACUAAGAUGUUCUACUUUUAUGUCAGGUAUCUUCAUUUGGUUAGAUAACACUGCAAGGACUCUUUUCUGCACAUCUUCAUCCUUGUCUUCUUUUAUACCAUGGAACAGAAGAAGUUUCUUGCGGGAUUGUGUCUCAAUUCGAUCCAUGCCUUGAGCCAACAGUUCAAUUUGGGACUUAAGCAAGGACAGAGUUUUCCAUACCAGGGUUUUGAAGGUAUAGUAGUCUGCCGCCAGUGAUUUAACAGUUGGGGUUGCUGUAGUGGAUAGUGAAAGAUUCUUUUCAAAAUCUUCCAUCCUGCAGGUAACCAUUGAAGACAGUUCCUCCAUAUUCUUCUGAAGAUGUUCGAUUGAGGAGUUCAUUGUGGCACUUUGUUUUCAAAUUAGUGUGAAAGAGUGUGGAGAGAGUCAACUUACACUGUAGUAACUUAACUUUUGCACAUAUAUCUAUAUAGUAAAAUAUAAUUAAAAAUAAAUAGGAGCACCAAAAAAUACGUCUUUAUACUUUCGUGUCUACCCGCCGAAAAAAAA
rnacentral:misc_RNA from 1 species